GUCAGGAAAGGUUGAAAGGCAGCUGCAGCUGCUUCCAGAUGCCGCUACACUACCCGAGAUAUACUAAGGCCGAUUACGAGUCUAUGCAGGAGUGGAAACCCGAUUGCCUCCUCAGAGAGUACGGGCUGCCGGUGACCGGUGAUGUGGAGUACAAGAGGAAGUUGGUAAUGGGUGCUUUUCUUUGGUCUAAUAAGUAGACAUAUUAG
rnacentral:misc_RNA from 1 species